AGUAAUGCAUCGGAACGUGUCCAUGUCGUGGGGGGAUAGCCCGGCGAAAGCCGGAUUAAUACCGCAUACGCCCGAGAGGGGAAAGUGGGGGACCGCAAGGCCUCACGCGAUUGGUUCGGCCGAUGUCCGAUUAGCUAGUUGGCGGGGUAAAGGCCCACCAAGGCGAUGAUCGGUAGCUGGUCUGAGAGGAUGAUCAGCCACACUGGGACUGAGACACGGCCCAG
rnacentral:rRNA from 1 species